CACAAAGUACAUAGGAUAACUGAUGCACAGUUACAACUAAGAUGUCAAUAGUGUUGAGAAUAUUUUGCAAGUUUACACACAUGAUGCCUGAAAAAGAAUUUCUAUUUACAAAGAUUGUUUAUAUUAUAAGUAUUCAAUGAUGCAGUUCUAUUAUAUCUGCAAGAAUGCCAGGCAUGAACCUUUUUGAGAAAAAUGCCAGGCACGAACCUUUUACAACCUUUACCUGCAUACAAGCUGCAGCUUC
rnacentral:lncRNA from 1 species